rnacentral:rRNA from 1 species
UUCUUUAAGAUGAUUUUUAAAGUAGUUCCUGCUCAAUGAUUAUUUAAAUAGCUGCCGUAAUUUGACUGUACAAAGGUAGCAUAAUAAUUAGUUUUUUAAUUGAGAACUAGAAUGAAUGGAUUUAUGAGAUAUAAAUUUUAUUAAUUUUAUUUUUAAAAUUUAAUUUUUAAGUAAAAAAGCUUAUAUUUUUAUUUGGGACGAAAAGACCCUAUAGAACUUUUUGUAAGUAUUCAAAGUUUAGUCAAAAAUGUUGAUUGUAUAUAUUUUAUUGGGGUGAUAAAUAAAUUUUUACUUUAUUUUUUUUUAUUCAUUAAUUUAUGUUAAUUUUGAUCCAUUUUAGGGAUUAUAAGUUUAAGUUACCUUAGGGAUAACAGCGUAAUUUUAAUGGGGAGUUCUUAUUUAUAUUAGAGUUUGCGACCUCGAUGUUGAAUUAAGAAAAGCAUAAGGGGUAGGUCUUAUAGUCUAAGUCUUCGAAUUUCC